UGCGUAGGCGGGCUAAUAAGUCAGUGGUGAAAUCUCUCGGCGCAACCGGGAAACUGCCAUUGAUACUGUUAGUCUUGAGUUCGGUUGAGGUAGGCGGAAUGUGUAAUGUAGCGGUGAAAUGCUUAGAUAUUACACAGAACACCAAUUGCGUAGGCAGCUUACUAGACCGACACUGACGCUGAGGCACGAAAGCGUGGGGAGCGAACAGGAUUAGAUACCCUGGUAGUCC
rnacentral:rRNA from 1 species